rnacentral:rRNA from 1 species
AUCAUGCCCCUUAUGAUUUGGGCUACACACGUGCUACAAUGGACAAUACAAAGGGCAGCGAAUCCGCGAGGCCAAGCAAAUCCCAUAAAAUUAUUCUCAGUUCGGAUUGUAGUCUGCAACUCGACUACAUGAAGCUGGAAUCGCUAGUAAUCGUAGAUCAGCAUGCUACGGUGAAUACGUUCCCGGGUCUUGUACACACCGCCCGUCACACCACGAGAGUUUGUAACACCCGAAGCCGGUGGAGUAACCUUUUGGAGCUAGCCGUCGAAGGUGGGACAAAUGAUUGGGGUGAAGUCGUAACAAGGUAGCCGUAUCGGAAGGUGCGGCUGGAUCACCUCCUUU